rnacentral:rRNA from 1 species
UACGUAGGGGGCUAGCGUUGUCCGGAAUCAUUGGGCGUAAAGAGCGUGUAGGCGGUCCGGUAAGUCCGCUGUGAAAGUCGGGGGCUCAACCCUCGAAUGCCGGUGGAUACUGUCGUGCUAGAGUGCGGAAGGGGCUACUGGAAUUCUCGGUGUAGCGGUGAAAUGCGUAGAUAUCGAGAGGAACACCUGCGGCGAAGGCGGGUAGCUGGGCCGACACUGACGCUGAUGCGCGAAAGCCAGGGGAGCGAACGGG